AGAAAAUAUUUUCCGUGUCCCCGCCUGCAGAGUCAGUGUGCGGUUUGGGAGAAAAUGUGUCGGAUAUUUUGGGGCGGUCACGUGGGCGGGCGGGCUCCGGGAGGCCCCGGGACAGUCCCAGCCUAGAGCCGUGCCCCCCCAGGAGCCCCCCAGUACGGCGAGCCCCGGACAUUGCGACGCUCCAUCUAAGAGACCGCCUGACGCCGGGACCUCGGGGCUCCGCCGCCUCCCUUCCCCCUCCCACUCCAGCAGCUACGGCCCAGUUCCCUCAACCUGACCCAGUAUGUAGGAGCCAGUCUCUGCAGGCGGCCAGCCGACCCUCCCCUUCUCUUCCCAGCCAAGUCAGAACCAAGGCUCAGAAAUGGGAGGAAUCUCUACCCCCUUCCUCUCUUCACUCAACUCCCAAGUCCCUUCUCUGAGGCAAAAUAAGAGGAAGGCCAAGGACAACUCUCCUUGGCUGACAUGCAGCAUCAUUCCUUGGACUUUUGGAGGCCCAGUGGGCAGGCCAGGCAGGGCGGGUACGGAGCCUCCCAGGCUGGGGCAGUGGGCAUGGGCAGGGG
rnacentral:sRNA from 1 species